CUGCUGCUUUCUUCUCAUCUUGACCUGCUGGUUCACCCGCCGCUUCACUUCUCCCUGGAAGUGCCUCAGCCUCAUUGCCUUCCUCCUCUGUUGCUCCUUCAGCUCCUCCUCAACCUGAAACGCCGAAGCGAAGGCACGGCUCUGCUCGCGGGGGCCGCUCUCCACCCAGGCGCCCACCGGGGCCACUCGCAGACUCCUCUCGCCCAGCAGCGCCCGGCCUGUCCGUGGGGGUCUCGCCGGACGGCCCACGGCCCCCCGGGGCGCUCGCGGCCGCAGUCUGGAGGACGGCAGCAUCCGGGCACGGCUCCGGGCCUGCUCCGCCACUUCCGCC
rnacentral:lncRNA from 1 species